rnacentral:rRNA from 1 species
UUGAACCCUGCAAAGCAGAACGACCCGUGAACACGUAAUACAACCAAGCGUCGAGUGGGUUAAGCGCUUGUUUGAUCCUCUCGAUGCUUUGCCGAUGCACAUUAACUUGAGUCCUCUUGGGCCUUGUGAAUGUGUUGUUGGCGCAAUAACAACCCCCGGCACAACGUGUGCCAAGGAAAACUAAACUUGAGAAGGCUCGUCUCAUUUUGCCCCGUUCGCGGUGUGCUCAUGGGAUGUGGCUUCUUUAUAAAUCGCGUCGCCCCCNACAAAUAUUUGUAGGGGGCGGAUAUUGGUCUCCCGUGCUCAUGGCGUGGUUGGCCAAAAUAGGAGUCCCUUCGAUGGACGCACAAACUAGUGGUGGUCGUAAAAACCCUCGUUCUUUGUUUUGUGCUGACGGUCGCAAGGAAACACUCUUCAAAUACCCCAAUGUGUUGUCUUAGGACGAUGCUUCGACCG